GUGUUCAACAUUUAAAAGGUAGGAAGAUACUAUUUUCCUACACUGGAAGGUUAAGGGAAUAACAAAUUUUACUCAGAAAACAUAUCAUCCAUGGGUCACAAAUACAUCAUCCAGAGGCUAUAGCACAGUGUUUAAAUCAUCCAAACUUCAAACAAGGCUCACUACAACUUAGCCAGACCAAAAGAGAAAAAAGACAUUCUUCUAUUUCUAUUGGGAUCCAAAUCCUGGUAUCCCACAGUUAUUUCCACUUCAUUGAUUGAUUAGACGCCUU
rnacentral:misc_RNA from 1 species